rnacentral:rRNA from 1 species
UACAGAGGGUGCAAGCGUUAAUCGGAAUUACUGGGCGUAAAGUGUGCGCAGGUGGCCGCGCAAGUCGAGUGUGAAAUCCCCCGAGCUUAACUUGGGAAUUGCGCUCGAAACUACUUGGCUAGAGUGUGUCAGAGGGGGGUAGAAUUCCACGUGUAGCAGUGAAAUGCGUAGAGAUGUGGAGGAAUACCGAGUGCGAAGGCAG